UUUAUCCUACGGGGGGCAGCAGUGGGGAAUAUUGGGCAAUGGGCGCAAGCCUGACCCAGCAACGCCGCGUGAAGGAAGAAGGCUUUCGGGUUGUAAACUUCUUUUCUCAGGGACGAAGAAAGUAACGGUACCUGAGGAAUAAGCCACGGCUAACUACGUGCCAGCAGCCGCGGUAAUACGUAGGUGGCAAGCGUUAUCCGGAUUUACUGGGUGUAAAGGGCGUGUAGGCGGGGAAGCAAGGCAGAUGGGAAAAACACGGGCUCAACCUGUGGCCUGCAUUU
rnacentral:rRNA from 1 species